GGAGAAAUUGUAUGUUUUCCUUUAGACUGAAUUAGUGUUGUUGUUUACCUUAUUUGAGAGUGUUUUGAUGUUAAAUUAAUGCAAUUGAACGGUGAAAUUUGCAAAAAACCGCUGUUUACCAGCGGGCCAGCCUAUAGGUGCCUAAAUAUACAAUUUUAAAAAGUGUCAUGUGGUUAGAUUUUUUACUUAUUUGCAAUUUUAAUUAGUUCAUUAAUUAACAGAGUGUUUAAGUCAUUGCCCUUGUUCACUUCUUUUAGCACCAUGUCCUAAUCUCUAUAGGCUUGCACCUGAGAUACGUAUACUUUUGUCUGCUAUAUAAAUAUACAAUAAGCUAUAUAAAUAAGUUCAGUAACUGCUACUGAGCCCUUUAGCUUUGAACAAUAUGUCAGGGAGCAUCUUGGCAAAAGUCGAUUCCAAAACAAAACUAAUCAACAGAUGGGGAAAAACAUGCGGUCAUGCUGCAAUAAAUUAUAUCAUUCCAAUCCUACCUGGAUUAAGGGGAAUUUAAUAAUUGAUAAUAAGUUGAUGAACUGCCUGGAACUCAUAGAUAAUAAAGACUAACACAAUACACUCACUCAGUUCGGUUUAAGGUUUUAGUUCGGUUGAACAUUGAACAUAUUAUUGCAAUUAACUUACAUUCGGCUGCAGAACUAUUUUUUUAAAUUGUAAUGUUAUGUUGUCGCUGUUAAUUAAGUUAGUAGGUAAGAGUAGUGAAAAGUAUUUUUAAUAUGCGAUUAUUUAUUAAUGAAACGUUAAGUAAAGGAUCAGUUAAAAAUAUAUCCCAAACUAAGUACCUAUACAGAACGUUGAAAAAUACACAAACAUGUUUAGCUUUUUAAAUUGCAAAUCGCAAAUUUCGAAGUCAGUAUUGCAAUUUGCCAUUAAAUGAUAGGAAAUAGUUAACAUGAAAAAAUGUCUCAUCGGCUAUUCAACCUGCAUAUUUAUAAUGCCAUUAAUAAAUUCUAAAUCGGCACUCUACAUUUCUGCUACUUUCAUUCCAUUUUACAGAUAACGUAACCUAACGGUAUAAGCGCAACAACGCAAGCAUAGCGACAAACCGGAAUCCUAUAAUAUGACUCGCUUACAACUCUGUUUCUUCAAUUUCCAUUGAACGUUUUUCUAAUAAUUUAUUCUUUUUUUCAUUUCGGAAUUUCACAUUCCACCUAAUCAGUCAUUGCAAACUCUGAAUGUUUUAGUUAGUAACACAUAAUUAUUUUACCGUCCAGAACCCCCAAAAAAGCUUAACUUGCGAAAUUAAUUAAUAAUCGUUUGACUAUUACGUUAACGUUGACCGUUAUGAAACACACAUUAGCAAAGACUGAAGAACUAGGGCCUUCUGAAAGCAGCAAAUAAAGCGAAUGGAAGACGAAGAAAUUGCCGCAAUUACCCGACAGGAGAACAGAAGAAAAUCACGCCAAGCGAUAAAUAAAGCUGAAGGUAAAUUGCUAAGCGAAAAGUGUUGAGGAAUAGAAUAAUUGUAGAACACAGGCACGACAGCAAAGGCAAAUUUAGAAGAGAAUGAUUUAGGUCGACUUUGCUCGCUUAUUAGAUAGAGAUUAAUAUGGUAUCUUCUAUCACAAAUAAAUCUUCUUGUAGAUUGAUGUAAUUAAUGCGCUAGAAAAUCGCCUGCAUCUAAAAUUAUUUAAUUUCUUUCAACUAGGCGUUUUAAUUUCAGUCGAUUUUACCAAUGCUAAUAAAGGUGAAGACACUGUAGGCAACACGCCAGUUUAAUAAUUUAAAUAGCGGGUGUUGAAGGCAAAAUAGCAGCUCAAUUCAAUCGAUUUCUAAUCGGGUAGAAAAUGUUGAUGCUGAAAUAUAUCCCAAUGAAAGCAGAGAUUUAUAUGUAUUCCAGCCCCACUAUCGGUUAGUGUGGCGACAACAAAAUGAUCUGUUUCCGCCCUUAGGAGUCUCAGAAGUCGGCAUAGAGCUUUAAUGGCAGAGGGCCACCUAACUGCAAAUGAAGGUGGAAAAUUCAUUUUGUGAUUUAGUUAACAAUUGACGCAGAAUAAAAUACUUUUUU